rnacentral:rRNA from 1 species
GACGUAGGGGGCCAGCGUUGUUCGGAAUUACUGGGCGUAAAGGGUUCGUAGGCGGUGCGGCACGUUGGGUGUGAAAUCUCUGGGCUUAACCCAGAGGCUGCUUCCAAAACUGCUGUGCUUGAGUGUGGGAGAGGCGCGUGGAAUUGCAGGUGUAGCGGUGAAAUGCGUAGAUAUCUGCAGGAACACCCGUGGCGAAAGCGGCGCGCUGGACCACUACUGACGCUGAGGAACGAAAGCUAGGGGAGCAAGCGGG